ACGCCCAUCUCAUCGUCGUCGUCGUCUUCUAAAACAUCGUCGUCAUUGUCGUCUUCUUCUCGUGCACCGUGUUCCCGAUCUAAACGUACCGUAGCCAGCAAUCGCGUUACCAGCUCGCGCUUUCUACCCGUUAAUCUCAGCCGUCGUUUUCUCAGCUCGUCUUUUAACUCAGGUAUUCGCAUCUGAGCCACCUGCUCGUCAGUCAAAUCUGCUUCUCCUGCAAUGUAGUUACUCAUCGUUCCGAAAUAUCACUUGUCACUCAGCGCUCUAGAUCCCGGCUCGAGCCCCCAAAAUUAUGUAACGCGGCUUUCGACUUCCCGAUUCAUACUCUUCGGCUUCUACACUCGCUCGCUCUCGCUUCUCAAUUCACACUCUGCACAUCUUUUGCAUCCGUCCUCUCCGGCUUCUCAACUAAUACUGCCUUUAGCGUCUCUUUUGUCUUUUCUCGUCGUUCGAGACACGUGUCCCGAAACGCCCGUGGCCAGGGUCACGCGGGCCCUUUCCACGAAACUAUCCACUUAAAAAGGACCGACGACACAUUGAUGUACCCGACGAUGCCGCGGCUCUCGCGACAUUGUUUACGAUUCGGCAGAUAUCUUAGGCCUCUUGUCCACGAUACUACAUAUAUAA
rnacentral:misc_RNA from 1 species